ensembl:lincRNA
UGAAACUUCCCCUGAUGACAUCACAGCCAAUCACCAGCCGCCAUUACUAGACUUAAAAGCUGCCGAAAAAAAAGCCUCCGGGGGUUGGGGCUGAGGCAAAAUUGUUGAAACUUUAAUGAUUUUUUUCCCCAGUGCAUUUUUUUAUUCUGAUAGGGGACUUUACAGAGCACAAAGGUACUGGAAAGGCAUUCAGCGCGAUGUACAUAAAGAUGAUAUGCCCUUCAGUGAGGAAUAGCGAUUACAGCUGCAGGAGAAAACCCGGCGGUGUCUUGGCAAUGGGUACAGUUUAAAUAGAUGCUGCUGGUGAAAUGUUCCCACAUCAUUUUCUUCUGAUCACUUGGCUCGUGACAAGUGUCUCUGCAGAUACCCCAGUCACCCCAGUCUCGGGGAGAUUUGGGGAGUGUGUUGUCUUGCCCUGCGAUGGAACAGCAGCUGUUGGAAACUCCGGGGAUCAGAUCGAUAUUCUGUGGAGACACUCGUUAGGAGACGUGUUGGUUUUCAGAAGCCAGAAGAAAGUUACAACCAACAUGCCAGUAGAUUGUGGGAAGAAACCGGAGCACCUGGAGGAAACCCACAUGAACAGGUGGAAGAACAUGGAAACUCCACACAGACAGCACCCCCAGAUCCAGAAUUGAACUCCAUGUAGCUGUUUAAAUCAUGUUUGCAAAUCAGUACUUGAGUGAUUUUCCACAAAUGUAGUGAUUCUACUGCGUUUUUUCAAUUGACUAAUUUAUAUGAAUUGGUGACAAUGCAAGGUUGCAGGAUAGUUACGUGUAUAGACCAUAAGUGUAUAGCCACCCUGGCUAUACACUUAUAUAUAUAUAAGUAUAUCCGUAUUAAGAAUUGAAUCUACAGAAACGCCCACUGCGAUGUCACUCAAGCGAGACUUCAGAGCCACAGAGCUGGGUUGGUGAGCAGACACGGAUGACCGUGGCCAAAACACCAUGCAGCGGGAGGAAACUGGUCAACUUCUAACGGAGAUGGAGGCGCUCUCUGGGUGCGUUACUCUGCUCUGCUUAAUCAAUAAGUAUGUUUUUUUUAUCAAGUUCGCUUCGAAUAUCACGAGUCUGUCGAAAAAGGAGGCCUGUUUCUCCUACAUCAUGAGAAAAAGUGUGGAAUGCGCCACUUCAUUACGUAAUCUAUUUUAUUGAUUAAAUUAAGGCUAUAUGUACUUUAAAGUGAAGUUAUUUUAAUUGCUUUUGAUCUGACACAGUAUCAGAUAUCUGUAGCAGGAGGUAAGAGAGGUGACAGCAGUUUUAAUUCGAUAAAAUCUCCUUUCAUCGAGCCUCUUGUCUGUAUUCGGUCGGGUACUUGACAUGACACCAGAUAGUCGUUAUUUUCACUGUGCUGUUUGGAACUUUCCUGUGCAUUUAAAACAUUUAACAUAAAAACAUAACAUGAAACAUAAAAAUCAUUUUAAUCAGGAAGAAGUACUCGGUCACUGCUAAUGUACGUUAACCUGAUUCGCAUCCAGACUUUCACGUAUUUACCUGCAGCUACAUCCACCUGAGCUGAUCUAAUUUCAACGACUAUAGUGUUACACUAGUUAAAGGUUUCUAGAUGGGUAUUUAUACUUCCUGGUUAUGUAUGCGUGUUGAUUUGUCAAAGAGUGAAAUAUAUCUCUGUGCAUAUUAUUGUAGCGUUUGCAGGUUCUUUACAGAACAAGGACGAGUGGAGACACAAUUAACAAACAAGCAUUAGCUUUAUUCGUUUACAACCACACAAAACCAAACACAGGAUCUACACACACAUGAGGAGACUGACAGAACACGUAUACAUAGUUAGGGUGGUAAUUACCUAACAACACACUACACUUUUACAGGACUACACAGGGCACUAGAAUCACUAGGACAUUAUUUACACAGGUAGGGUCAGCCGCUGGUCAUCGUGCUGACCCUCAGACUCUCCCCGGCUACCACUCCCAGCAUGCCCAGCGGUACUACGAGCGCCUAGGGGCGCUUCCUCCUCACCACCAGGCGAGGGCGUUACAUUAUUAAAGCCACAGUAACCCAGCUAAUCUGAUAGGUACUCGUGUCCUGAGAAUUUGUCAGAAAACCCUUCUCGUUGUGUUCUGAUUUUUUACAAAUGGCAUCCAGCACUGAGCAUUACUGUGCUAGGUUUAUCCAUCAGAUAGCAUAAACUCGUCUGUUUCUGCUGUGGCGACCUUGAUUCUAUUCUGACAGCCGCUGGCGCAAAACUACAGACAAUUCAGAGCCAACCAAUUAACCCUAAUUAGCUCAGCCAACAUGUCUUCGGAUUGUAGGAGGAAACCUAGACACGUGGAAAACAUCCAAAUUGCACACAGAAGGUUCCCGUAAACUAGAAUCUAACCCGCGACGUGAGAGGCUACGAGGCACCGCAGUGCUAAUUGCCACGCCCUUCUACCGCCUUCAAUCUUGUUUCAAAGGGCUUUGGUUUCGAGAGCUAAAGCUUAUUUAGGGAUAUCUUCUCCUCUGUGGUCACUCUAGAUAGCGCGGCGUGGGGAGGUCACUCGGGAGCGCUGGGGACGAGGUCUGUCCGACUCGGGGACACGGUGACCCUGCACUGCGACAUCUCGCUCCGGUACGAAGCCAUGUGGCUCAUCCAACGGCCCGACCAGACUCUGUCUCUGGGUGUUAUAGCCAGUAAAAACAAGGUGGGCCCCGAAACUCAUAUAUCCGUCUAUAGCGGCGACACCGACCCACGGUUCGGCGCCGAGCUGAACUCGACCACCGGCUCCAUCAGUCUGAGGAUCCGGAACGUCACCCAGUCGGACCUGGGGCUGUACUAUUGUGCCGAGAGACACCUGGAAAGCCUUAACAUUGGACGGGGAAUCAGGCUCGUCCAUGAGGGUGAGAGGGGUGGCUUUUUCGAGUUUUAAAAUACAGAUUCAUUUUUUUUUUCAAAUCAAACUACGACCAUACAAAGCCUAUCAAGUCAACAGUUUGUAUCGAAAACACUUAUAACUCGCCGUGAGUCAUACUUUAUUUUUGGAGAACACAUAUUAGAAUAAACAAGCAAAUAAGACAGCACUUGAGCUGCAAACCUGAAGUGUGGUUUUCACAGAGCUGGUCACGUAUCGGUGCUACUAAAGUACAAAAUCAGUCUAAACACCGUUAAGUUGCCAAGAUGCAAACAAAAAAAGAUGACAUAAAGCUUAGUCUGGGUUGCAGGAUGGCACAGUGGUCAGUACUCGGUACUCAGUACUGCUGCCUUGUAGAACUGGGGCUCUGGGUUCAAUUCUGGACAUGGGCUGCAGUCUGUGUUGAGUUUGCAUGUUCUGUUUGUGUGGGUUUCUUUUGGAUGCUCUGGGUUAAUGCUGGGGGGUUAAUGAGCCCUGGUGUGUGUGUGUGUGUGUGUGUGUGUGUGUGUGUGUGUGUGUGUGUCUCCUGUCCAGGGUCAACCCUGCCUUGUGCCUCUUGCUUGCUGGGAUAGACUCCAGCUCCCCCUGUGACCUGGAUACAGCUGUUAGAAAAUGGAUGGAGGGAUUAAGCUUAUUUUGUUUCUAAAUAUCCUUCUACAAUGAUAACGGUGUUGUUCAGAAGAAGGUGUAGAUGAUCAUCCCAGCUC